rnacentral:lncRNA from 1 species
GUAUGAAGAGGUCUACAAUUACAUGUAUUUCUCUGUAAGCUGGCUGUGUGUGGGUUGAGUGCUGUACUUUUAGCUGGACCCUGUGUACUGUGCACACAGCCUCCCUUUACAUGAUGCUGGUCGAAGAGGAGCCAGGACAGAAAAACACAGAUUCUGGCAAACUCCUCUGCUCUAAGUGAUCUUUCUUAACUGCCCUUCACAAAGUAAAAACUUGAUUUUCCAUGUGCCUCAGUUUAUUUAGAAAGGUAAAUAGCCUAAAGGAAGCAGCUUCCAAACCUCUCCAAAACAGGUAUUUCCAAGAUAAAGGAAUCAGUAUACAGGUCUUCUGCAUGACUGGAGAACUAUGAUGCUGGCUUUCAGCAUUCUUUCUGGCAGCUAAACAACCUCACCACAACAGAAGCGGUGACACUCCCUCCUCACCCUCCCUGCUCAGCCUGGUCUGUAGCCUUUCUCAGCUACCUGCAAAAGAAAAGCAACCAAUUUGAGCUCCACCUGUGAGACGUGGUCCCAGAUCUCAAUCCUGCAGGUAUGAAAAGACAGAACCAACUUAAACAGCAGGCAAGGCACUGAGAAUGCAAGGGGCGAAUUCGGCACUAGAAAAUUUACUUGCUGAGCUGGGAUUCAUCAUACAAACAUCCCUUCAUGAAUAUCAGUGGCGCCUGCAUGCCUUCUGGAUCCAACUCACUCUCACUGAAGCAAAGAGGUACAACUGGCAACUUUUUCUGUCAGCAAAAGAUCUAUUUGUGGAAGAGCCAUCCUUAGAAACUUCACAUCACAUAUCAGAGGGCUGA